ACAACAGUACUAUCUAAGUGGAUAGGAGAGGAAAUAGAACAGGGAGAGAGAAAACAAGUGAUUUAAAUGUCAGGAGUCUCUUUCAAACUGAUUCAUGUUAGAUUUAAAAAACACUGGUGACAAUUCUGUAGUUUCUUUGGAACCAUGGUGGGAGCUUGUAAAGGUUCACAACAGGGAGGUGUAGGGGCUUGUGCUAAUAUCUGCAGGUAUCUGCUUGUGUGAUGUUAAGUAAUUUAAAUGUUCAGGGGCAGAAUUGACAGAAAAUCCUGGAGUGAGCUUUGUUGCAGCCCUAUGGAAACUUUUUUAUUGCAAUUUUAUGUAAAAUAUAGGAGGCUCUGUGUUGAAUUACUGAUUACCUUUCUUGGACAUAAUCCUGUCUUUCCAAGAAUAUGCAGAGGCAGAUGGAAACCAGUGUUACUCAUCACUGUCGGCCUUUUCUCUUACUUCCAGGUCUUUACUUGCUGUGACUCCUCCUUUUGCAAACAUCAACAAUGGCAGCAGUGUUCGUAAGAUCCCAGUGUGGGGCAAGAGCAUGUCUGCUGUGUCCUAAAGCAGCAGAAGACACGCUCCACUGUGGGUCUGUGGGUUGGCACAAGGUAAUCAAUGAGAGUCAUGAAAUUGGGCUGUUGUGGUGAGAGGAAAACAAGACUAUUUUCCAUUCAGACACCCAAAACAUGCUCCUAAUGUAUACAACAACAAAUCACUGAUCAUUCCUGAGAGCAAGCCGGAAGACUGUAGUGGAAAGCACUGCUCCAUGUGGGCCAGAGUUGGAUACCUCAAUCAGCAACAGAGAUCCUCCUUGAAAUACCAGAGUGUUCCACUGUGCAUGCAGUCAUUUCAACUCAGCAGACUCUUUUACUGGAUUCAGAGCAAGGAAGCAGUAUGAGCUCCGAUUCUGCGUGUUGCAAAGGGGAAGUGGUUCCUGUGCCUGUUGUUCUCCUGGGUGAUGGUUGGUGUGAAGGAACAGAGAAGGAAAAAGAUGAGGCAAAACUGCCAAGAAAGAUGUGUGAAGAUGAUCUAAGUUGGCAGAUACCUUUUUCAGAAGACAGGAAGUGGGGAAUUGCAUGGAAUUUUUUUGCGGGGACCAAAGGUGGCUGUAUUUGCAUCUUGAAUUGUAGCACUAGAGGUUGGAUUAGACUUCAGAUGAAUCAAAAACCUUUGAGAGACUUGAAGCCUUCAAACCACACCCAAAACAACUUUAUGUAACAACUCUACCUGUUCUCAGUGCCUCUUUCUUCCCCCUUGCCUCUCACUGUUUGAAAUUUUUAUUCGUUGUGUCUUAGUUUUGCUUAUAUUGUAAGGACGAGGACUAACUUUUGUGUCUAGGCAGAAUCUGGUCUAGCAGCCCAGUGCAUCUUACUGCAAUACAGAUAAUUACUGCUAUUAAUCAAAGUUCCCACAACUUCCUGAAGCAUCUGCUUUCCAAGCAGUAAUGGGGCUGUUACUGUAUGUUCUUUCAGAAGAUGCCCUCUCUUCCUGAAUGUCUUAGUUGAGAGCUCUAGUCUUAAAAAAUGCAUUGAAUUUUUCCAUCUAUGUAAGAGAUUCACACUCCAUUCUUCCUCAGCUUUAAGAUGAAGGUGGUAUGAAGCUGGUCAUGCUGCAGUAUGAGAAGUCAACUGUCUGCCAAGAAACAUUGAUUAUUGCUGCUUUUUAAAGUGUAACGAUUUACCAAACAGAUGAUGCAAGAUCUGUGCGCAUCUAAGUGCUGUGUUUCUCUAAGGCAGUGAGAUAGAAGAGGAAGAUACCAUUUCAGACUGAGUUAGCACUUUUUCUUUCCUACAGUAUAACUUCCAUUUUCUUUGCAAAUCUCAAUAAAGCAGUUACCCUGAAAGUAUAUUCUUCCACAUAUUUUCAAAAAUGCUGUCUAAGAAUUAGGAAAUACACCUACUCUUUUGCAUUAGAAAUACCUUAUAAAGGAUUAUGAACUCUUGAGUGAGGAACUGACUAAAAUGACCAGGAGGAAAAAAACACAGUUUGGAUGAUACGCAUGGGAGGUUUGCCUUUUUCAGGUCUGUAUCUCAGGGAGAGACUGGCAGAGUCCUCAGUAUUGGAACCUGAGAAAAAUUCUUUGUCACCAGAAUGCUUCUAGGUGUCAGAGUACAGAGAGGAUCAGUCACAGCUUUGUGCAAGUACAAGUCUGUGGGGAUUCCCAUAGAAAAGUGGUAAAGAUUUGGGGAGUUCUUUGUACAUUCAGGCUUUUCUGUUUGCUCCUUCUACUUCUUAAUUUUGUAUUCCAUGGCAACGUGUAGCAGCUCUGGAUCCUACUCAUAUCUUCAGUUUGGGUGGAGAGAGAGAGCUGGAGUGGCUCUCUAGAGAGCAGAAUUACAAUAAGAUGUGGGAGGUUUUACAAGUGACCUGUUAGCUGCUUCCUCCCAUUCCUAAACCACCUCUACCUGGGAGGAAGUUUAAAUUGCUGCCUGGCUUGGCCAGGGCAACUCAUACCUGCAGCAUGAAGUCAAGAAGCAUCUUCCUGCUGGGGCUCCUCACCCUAUGGGCAGAGCUGCAGGCUGCACCCACAAAAGGCAAGUAUGGGCAUGUUUGAAACACUCACCUUUUGUAGAUUUUAGAGUAUUUUUUGUAUUUUCCAUGACAUGUGUUUAAGUAUCUGUUUUAAUUCUUAUAUGGA